GAUGAACGCUGGCGGCGUGCCUAAUACAUGCAAGUCGAGCGAACAGACGAGGAGCUUGCUCCACUGACGUUAGCGGCGGACGGGUGAGUAACACGUGGAUAACCUACCUAUAAGACUGGGAUAACUUCGGGAAACCGGAGCUAAUACCGGAUAAUAUAUUGAACCGCAUGGUUCAAUAGUGAAAGACGGUUUUGCUGUCACUUAUAGAUGGAUCCGCGCCGCAUUAGCUAGUUGGUAAGGUAACGGCUUACCAAGGCAACGAUGCGUAGCCGACCUGAGAGGGUGAUCGGCCACACUGGAACUGAGACACGGUCCAGACUCCUACGGGAGGCAGCAGUAGGGACUCUUCCGCAAUGGGCGAAAGCCUGACGGAGCAACGCCGCGUGAGUGAUGAAGGUCUUCGGAUCGUAAAACUCUGUUAUUAGGGAAGAACAAAUGUGUAAGUAACUAUGCACGUCUUGACGGUACCUAAUCAGAAAGCCACGGCUAACUACGUG
rnacentral:rRNA from 1 species